UCCUCAGGUGCGUCGCUAUAUAUUCUAAGA
rnacentral:piRNA from 1 species